AGCCGCUAUGCUACUGCGCGCCAUCUUGGCUUGGCCCGGAGAGCCCUUCUGAGGAGUAUAUUCACCAAUUGGCUUAGUUUCCUUAGAUCUUCGGUGGAAGAUAGGAAAAUCUGAGUAAUUCUGAUUAUGGGGAGGGAAUGAAACGGAACUUUUUAACUGUGGGACAGCAAAAAGACCUGGGUCAGAAUCCUCCGCCAUUUAUUGGCUGCAUGGCCUUGGGUAAGCCA